UCCUCGUUUUGUACUGUCCCCAGAGUACCCAGAGCCGCUGGUGGCAAUUCAGCCUGGCAGAACUGCAAGAGUUUCAGAGUUUCUCUAUGUUUCCCCAGCAUUGCUGAGAGGUCGUUCCUGCAGGUGGGGACUCCAUGGUACACGAGAAAGCUCUGACUGCUUGCUUCUCCUGGUCAUACCCUAUAAACUGGCAGCUACACGGAGACCAGUAACUGGAUCUCCGAAGUGUAGGUUUCUUUACACUACUGAAGUCAAAACCUGUCGGAGGCAAGGAGGAAAUGGGAAGAAUUUACAUCUGAAGUCAUAAAUCAGGAGAAAGUCCUGUGAAAAUGGCCAUCCUGCAGAAGGAAUUUCCUGCCCAUGAACAUUUUGCUGUGCUUUUUCUUUCUCAUCAGGAGCAGUGUCUCUGCGAGUGGUGAGCUGAGGACUCUGAGCUCAGCACCAAGGCACAGGGAAAUUUAACCCACUUCCAGAUGCCUGGUUUCUCCCUUGGCAGCACAGAGGUCAGCAGCUCCCCAGUCCCRGGAGUAAAUCCUGACCUGGGUGCUGCUGUGACGGGGCCCAGCUSAGUCUCACCUGUCUGCUGGCUCUUCCCAGGUGGAAGUAAAAGGUGGCAAGUGGCGAUCCGUGGAUGAGCAGCACAGAAGGGAGAUGCAUGGGUAGGGGAAAUUGCCUGGGGAAGGGUGAUGAGCCCCUGAAGCCUGGUUUUCAGAAGGUGGACAAUACCUUGUUUCAUUUUAGAAUAAAAACUCGAUCCCUGUAGAAAGUGGCCUGAUCCAGUCCCAGCAUCACCAGAGAAGGUGCUAUAAUCCUUGCUGAUCCUGACCUUGCCUUGGUGACUYGACUUUCUGGCUUGACCUUGGACCAUGUCUCACCAGUGUGGACUUGUCUGGCAACCUGGACUCUGGCUGCCCCCGGUUAUGAACCCUAGACCUUCUCUGCUCUCCUUGUUUGGGUCCUGUGGGACUGUACCRUUGGCGAGGAGGACACUACCCGUCUUGCCUCGCUGUCACCCUCACCUCCAGCUCCCCUUCCCCUGUGGAGCAGCCUACUCUUGCGGCUCCUUGACAACUACGACAUCAGUGAUGACUCAGGAAUUGUCUGAGGCUUUAAAUCUUAAACCAUGCCAGUCUCUCUGUAGGGCAAAGGUUAUUCUUAUGCUGCGCUGAGAGGAACUCAUGCAUGCUUAUAAGGAGCCUGGCCAUGGCAUUACUURGGUAUCCAGACUAUCACUGCUUGCUAGUUGCGUCUUGACUGGAUCCAGAAGGAGAUGAAGAUACUGGAUGUUUUUGGAAGAUUGACCUCUGCCAUUUUCAGGUUUCUGAAUCUCACCAGCCUUUUCCAAACUAGUUUAAGCUCACAUUGAUUCCCCCACCUCCCGCCCCUGGUUCCCUCCUGAAACACAGUCAAGGGCUGAGAUARGCAAAUGGGGGCUCUCCUUCCACUAAUUCCCUGUAGGUGCGCWGAAGGGGAGAGGGAAGCUCAGGCCCAGCAGAAGUGUUACAGACCUUGGCCGUGAUUAACACUCAUCUCUAGACUGGUUCACAUGGCAAAGCCGCUGCUCUGGGCUGCCCCAUCCUUCACGCAUCCCGAGAGAUGAACUGCCGAUGGUCUGGUCUGCGCAGACUGGAGCAUGUGAGCAUGGCGGGGUUGCUGUCCCCUUUGGUGGGUCACGGUAUGAGGUUCCUUUUGUUAAAGGUGCACAGAGAAGGCUUGUGGUUAUCAAUAAUAUUGCUUUUUUUYCCCUUGUUUAAGGCUGGGAAAAACUAUCAGGUCACCGCUCACUGUGCACAUGGCAGAGCUUUACCAGGUCUGGAUGAACAGAGUGUAAAGGGUUCAGGUAAUGACUGAGCUCAUGUGAACAGUGGUCACCAAGGGAACAGGCUCCGUAAUCUUAUUAUUGGUCUGCUAAAUCCUUCUGACCCUUUAAAGCACUGCUGUCAACAGCGCUAUGAUGGAUCUCACCUGAGCUCAGCCCGGGAGCCCGCUGCAGGCACGGCUGCGGGAAUGCGCGCGGUGUCGGUUCAGCGCCCUGCGUCCUCCAGCCAACCGUCAGGCACUCAGUGAGGGGCAGGAGUCUUUCCACUCAAAGGUGACAAACAGGCAAAUACACUUCCUGAUACACUGAGUGUUACAGCUGAGUCUUUGUAGAGCAUGGCUGYCCUCUGG
ensembl:lncRNA